AGUGAACGCUGGCGGUAGGCCUAACACAUGCAAGUCGAACGGCAGCACAGUAAGAGCUUGCUCUUACGGGUGGCGAGUGGCGGACGGGUGAGGAAUACAUCGGAAUCUACUUUUUCGUGGGGGAUAACGUAGGGAAACUUACGCUAAUACCGCAUACGACCUACGGGUGAAAGCAGGGGAUCUUCGGACCUUGCGCGAUUGAAUGAGCCGAUGUCGGAUUAGCUAGUUGGCGGGGUAAAGGCCCACCAAGGCGACGAUCCGUAGCUGGUCUGAGAGGAUGAUCAGCCACACUGGAACUGAGACACGGUCCAGACUCCUACGGGAGGCAGCAGUGGGGAAUAUGGGACAAUGGGCGCAAGCCUGAUCCAGCCAUACCGCGUGGGUGAAGAAGGCCUUCGGGUUGUAAAGCCCUUUUGUUGGGAAAGAAAAGCAGCAGGUUAAGACCCCGCUGUUCGGACGGUACCCAAAGAAUAAGCACCGGCUAACUUCGU
rnacentral:rRNA from 1 species